UACGAGUGCCUCAAGUGUUAUCCGGAAUCACUGGGCGUAAAGGGUGUGUAGGCGGUCAUGUUAGUCCACUGUCAAAUUCUUCGGCUUAACCGGGGGUCCGCAGUGGAAACGGCAUGACUUUGAGGGUGCGAGAGGUGAAUGGAACUCUAAGUGUAGGGGUGAAAUCCGUUGAUAUUUAGGGGAACACCAAAAGCGAAGGCAAUAAACUGGCGCCUACCUGACACUCAAGCACGAAAGCGUGGGGAUCAAACGGGAUUAGAUACCCUUGUAGU
rnacentral:rRNA from 1 species